rnacentral:rRNA from 1 species
UACGUAGGGCGCAAGCGUUGUCCGGAAUUAUUGGGCGUAAAGAGCUCGUAGGCGGCUUGUCACGUCGGGUGUGAAAGCCCGGGGCUUAACCCCGGGUCUGCAUUCGAUACGGGCAGGCUAGAGUGUGGUAGGGGAGAUCGGAAUUCCUGGUGUAGCGGUGAAAUGCGCAGAUAUCAGGAGGAACACCGGUGGCGAAGGCGGGUCUCUGGGCAAUAACUGACGCUGAGGAGCGAAGGCGUGGGGAGCGAACAGG